rnacentral:rRNA from 1 species
UACGUAGGGUGCGAGCGUUAAUCGGAAUUACUGGGCGUAACGCGUGCGCAGGCGGUUUUGUAAGUCAGGUGUGAAAUCCCCGGGCUUAACCUGGGAACUGCGCUUGUGACUGCAAGACUCGAGUACGGCAGAGGGGGGUAGAAUUCCACGUGUAGCAGUGAAAUGCGUAGAGAUGUGGAGGAAUACCGAUGGCGAAGGCAGCCCCCUGGGUCGAUACUGACGCUCAUGCACGAAAGCGUGGGGAGCAAACAGG